AGCUAAGAUAUACAACAGUAGUUUGAGAAAACAGGGUUAUAGGAGGUUAUAGGGGGAGAGCAUCCCCGAAUGAUAAGGGGCUAUAGAGGUCCAGGAAGACUAGCAGAAGCGACAAGAGGGAAAAGCACCACUCUUCACCAAGGAGUUCCCAGACUUCCUCUGUGAGGGAGGACAACUUUGAGAAGGACCUGAAUGAUGGGAAGACUAGAGUGGGGAAUGUGCCUUCCUAUUAUGUUUCCCAGGGGAGUGUUUUGUUGUUGCUAGGUUUUCUUUAUCAACAACCCACUUCAUGGAACUACACCUUGUCUUCUCACCCAAGCUGAUAAGCUGAUCACUUGAAAUAUCAUCAGCAUGAAGAAUGGUUCAGGUUUGGGGACACUACCCUUUUUCAUUUCACCCUCAGUUGUCUUUCCCCUCUGAUUGGAGGGCUGAAGGGUGAAACACUAAACUCCUUCCCAAAUCUGCCUUUGUAGAGGGCUUACAACCUUCCUGGUAACUCCAUCAGCAGGUGUUUGGCUUCCAUUCCACAGAACAGCAUCCUCCCCUCCCACUUCUUGUCAACUUUUGUGUGUUGGAUGCCCUAUUAAAUUGCAAGCUCCAUGAA